GACGAACGCUGGCGGCGUGCUUAACACAUGCAAGUCGAGCGGUAAGGCCCUUUCGGGGGUACACGAGCGGCGAACGGGUGAGUAACACGUGGGUGACCUGCCCUCAGCUCUGGGAUAAGCCUGGGAAACCGGGUCUAAUACCGGAUAUGACCUCGAGCGGCAUCUCUCGAGGUGGAAAGAUUUAUCGGCUAGGGAUGGGCCCGCGGCCUAUCAGCUUGUUGGUGGGGUAACGCCUACCAAGGCGACGACGGGUAGCCGGCCUGAGAGGGCGACCGGCCACACUGGGACUGAGACACGGCCCAGACUCCUACGGGAGGCAGCAGUGGGGAAUCUUGCGCAAUGGGCGAAAGCCUGACGCAGCGACGCCGCGUGAGGGAUGACGGCC
rnacentral:rRNA from 1 species